CAAUUUCAGUCGCAAUAGUUUAACUUUAAAGGCUGGAGAAAAAAAAUGCUGUGGUGUAUCUGCUUUAUUUGUGCCAAUUAAAACCUGUGACGAAUAUAUGCGUAUUAAUGUUAUCUUAUAGAUAAAUAAUGCCGAGAACUUAAUGCUAUUCUCAUUUAAACUCCACGUUUGGCAGAGUUUACGAAUCGCAAUCAGGAUGUUCUCAUAAUAACGUAGCUACGUUUAUGCAAAUCAAACACUGCUAUGAAUCCCCAAGUGACCAUCUUUGUCGGCAAUUAAAACCGACACAAUGCAGUAGAUCUACGGAAUAGUUCGCGUUGGGAUUCAUAGAUUACUGAUUUGGGAUGUUAUUGUGAUGCCAGAUUAUCUCUACAUUGACAUCCUGUCGAGUUGACAUGUCAGUAAUUUAAUUAAUCUCCAAGACUACGAACAGACGGAGAAUGUUGUCAUGUUGUCUAAUAUGGUACCUUUAUUAACUAAUAAAGAAUUAUCCGUUCGCAUCGCGGCUCUUUCUCUUUAUAUAUAUAGGUCUUAUAUAUGCACACGUUAUAUAGUAGAAAACUAAUGGAGGAUAUAAAACGCCUCUAGAUGCAAAACAAGUUCCGAUAAUAGAAUAUGAAAAAAAAGAAAACUUUAAAAGGAAAACAGAUUUAAUAAAAGCCACAAACAGCAAAUUAAUCCUAUUUUCGGUCGAUAAUCGUCGCCGUUCCAUUUACGAAUAACAUGGUGAAUUUCGAAGUAAUCUGGUACAUCGAUUUUCGCGAAAAAUAAAAAUCUAUACGCUAAAGUUCAGCUGAUGUCUCUCACUGCAUCCGAUGUUUUUCCUCCCAAGGGAUGGUAAGAAGUGACUCUUCUUAAGCAACGUUCACAUUCUUGUAGAGACAACUUUUAUUUACCGUAUCCGACAAAUCUAAUGUAAAAUUGUUGGGAUACAGUCUUUCCACUUUGCGUGUCCGGCAAAUGGUAGAUCUAAUUGUCGUCUUGUUUUGAUGUCCCGAAGGGUCAUUAAGUCUUUUCUCGUUUCAAAUAUAGUUGGACGUGCCAGGAUUACAAGAUUUCCGUUAGUCGUUUUGCUUGCACGUCUCACUCAGGUGUUUUCAGUGCGAAAGGGGAGUGGAUUUCGGAAGUAUUUCCCCCUCUCAAUCCCCGUUGCAGAUCGGCUAAGGGUGCUUAGUCGAAUCCACGACACGUUUUUGCUUUCAAGCUAGCGACAACCAUUGCCGUAGUAGCCAAGCCAUGAGUUGAUCGUGAAUUCCUUUCCUACUGUCUGAUCUGUCGGGAUUGCAUUGCAUUCAGUAUGCAAUUAGCCUGCACUCCGGGGUGUUGUUUUUUUAUACCUUGUUUCUGCAGUCUGACAGCCACCGAAUCCAAUAUCGUCAUUUCUGAUAAACUCUUCGCCUUAUAGGGUGCAUUGUAGAGAGCGCAUUCCUUUGUACAGGAUAAAUAAAUUAUAUCUUACCUAUGAAAAAUAUAUGUAUUUUCCUAUUUAUUAUAAUUUGAAACGCAAAAAGUGAU
rnacentral:lncRNA from 1 species